UACGAAGGGGGCUAGCGUUGCUCGGAAUCACUGGGCGUAAAGCGCACGUAGGCGGAUCUUUAAGUCAGGGGUGAAAUCCCAAGGCUCAACCUUGGAACUGCCUUUGAUACUGGGGAUCUCGAGCUCGGAAGAGGUUGGUGGAACUCCGAGUGUAGAGGUGAAAUUCGUAGAAUAUUCGGAAGAACACCAGUGGCGAAGGCGGUCCAC
rnacentral:rRNA from 1 species